UUUUACCAGAAGUGGCUAGUCUAACCGCAAGGAGGACGGUCACCACGGUAGGAUUCAUGACUGGGGUGAAGUCGUAACAAGGUAGCCGUAUCGGAAGGUGCGGCUGGAUCACCUCCUUU
rnacentral:rRNA from 9 species